CAGCAGCCACGGUAAUACAGAGGAUGCAAGCGUUAUCCGGAAUGAUUGGGCGUAAAGCGUCUGUAGGUGGCUUUUCAAGUCCGCCGUCAAAUCCCAGGGCUCAACCCUGGACAGGCGGUGGAAACUACCAAGCUGGAGUACGGUAGGGGCAGAGGGAAUUUCCGGUGGAGCGGUGAAAUGCGUAGAUAUUAGGAAGAACACCAGUGGCGAAGGCGACUUUCUGGACGAAAACUGACGCUGAGGCGCGAAAGCCAGGGGAGCGAACGGGAUUAGAUACCCGGGUAGUCCCUGUCUCUUAUAC
rnacentral:rRNA from 1 species